CACACCCCAUUACCGACCAGGCUGCAACCAGUCACUUGUACACACACGUACACAAACACAGAGAGAAUUUUGGGGAGAGAGAGAGGUUUGACUCACCUCCAAUCGUCGCUGCCGCCGAAUAACACAAACUUCACUCCGGAGUCGUGUCGCCUCUGCCGGAUACGGCAUACACCGUUGCCGCCGAAAUCACGUCGCCACCGCCAGAUACGGAAGACGUCGUUGCUGCCACGUCGCACAGCCAUGGAUUCUCUCUUCUCUCUCUCUCUCUCUCUCU
rnacentral:lncRNA from 1 species